rnacentral:rRNA from 1 species
UACGGGGGGAGCAAGCGUUGUUCGGAUUUACUGGGCGUAAAGGGCGCGUAGGCGGCAAUUCAAGUCAUCUGUGAAAUCUCCGGGCUUAACCCGGAACGGUCAGAUGAUACUGCUUUGCUAGAGUGCGGAAGGGGCAAUCGGAAUUCUUGGUGUAGCGGUGAAAUGCGUAGAUAUCAAGAGGAACACCUGAGGUGAAGACGGGUUGCUGGGCCGACACUGACGCUGACAGCGCGAAGGCCAGGGGAGCAAACGGG